UCUAAAAUGAAAGUAAUAUUAUAGAUCUAGUGAAAAUACGAAUUCUGACAGCUCAUUAGUUUGGUAGCACGUUCUACUGAGGAACAUCUGGCAUGCAUCACGGGUUUGAGCAUACUCAACAUCAUGUUUUAAUUUUGAAUAUCAUGAACAGUGAACUGUGUAUUAAGUUUAGGAUAUGUGUGCAACUAAAUCAUUUCAUUGGACACCUUGACUGUCCAUUAUAUUACCCAGGUCCUUGAGCUAUUGUACAUGGCUGGGGCCAUGGGAGACAGUGUUGGUGGCUGUGGGGUUGAGUGGGUCACUCAAGCGGAGCAGGAGCCUCACUAGUUGUUCUAGGUUACCCCCAUGAAUGGUAUAUAGAGCUUUUUAAGCCAAUUUCUUCCAUCGAAAUUCAUCCAAAAAUGGGUUUGAUCAUAUGUUAUUACUUAAUAAAAUGUGUAACAAUUGGCAGAUUUAAAAAAGUAACUGAAUCAUUCUCAAUAAGUCAAUUACCACAAAUUUAAAAAUCUAUGCAUCAAAAAUAAACACUUGGCUAAAAAAUUGCAUUAAGUUUGGCUUAUUUCUCCAUUAUCUUUUAAGAAGUCACCUUUGGCACCCUGAUGAUGCAUUAUGUCUUUGAGACACUCUUCUUGGUUCCUAAUACGUUCACUGACAGAUUUUUGCUGGAAUCACCCAGGCCACAAACUAACCUUCUGUCCUUCAUGUUCAGCCUAUGCUCAAGAUCAAAAAUCUCAGAGAUUCAACUUGAUAUCAGUGUUGCAGUGUGUGAAGAACGUACGAAAUCCCCGAACAAUGAGUUUUCAUCAGCCUGUAAACCUCAAUGACUAUGAUGAGCCCAGCCCCUACUAACCUGCUAUGGACAUAGGCACACAGGGCUGCUGAGAAGGGGAUCUUCCUUUCUCAAAAUAAAUAAAGG